CACGGAGGGUGCGAGCGUUGUCCGGAAUCACUGGGCGUAAAGGGUGCGUAGGCGGCCGUGCAAGUCUGGCGUGAAAGCCCCGGGCUCAGCCCGGGAAGUGCGCUCGAAACUGCGCGGCUCGAGUGCCGGAGGGGAGAGUGGAAUUCCUGGUGUAGCGGUGAAAUGCGUAGAUAUCAGGAGGAAUACCGGUGGCGAAAGCGACUCUCUGGACGGCAACUGACGCUGAGGCACGAAAGCGUGGGGAGCAAACAGG
rnacentral:rRNA from 1 species